CACGUAGGGCGCGAGCGUUGUCCGGAAUUAUUGGGCGUAAAGGGCUCGUAGGCGGUUUGUCGCGUCGGGAGUGAAAUCCACUGGCUUAACUGGUGGCUUGCUUUCGAUACGGGCAGACUGGAGGUAUGCAGGGGAGAACGGAAUUCCUGGUGUAGCGGUGAAAUGCGCAGAUAUCAGGAGGAACACCGGUGGCGAAGGCGGUUCUCUGGGCAUGUCCUGACGCUGAGGAGCGAAAGUGUGGGGAGCGAACAGG
rnacentral:rRNA from 1 species